GUUGGUGUAUGAAUGAGAAGGUCGAUGCUUGGCAUCUGUGUGUUUAGGCAAUAGAAGACGCCACAGUGCUGGAAUAGAAAUAAGAAAAAGAAGGAUUGGUCUGAGUUGGGUGUGGGGGCGAGUAAAUAUCAGAGGGGUUUUGUCUGUGCUGGAGUAUAAGACCUCGAUGAUCGAUUGGACCGGUUUCAAAUAUCGUUCGAAAGCCUUCUUUAGUAUUCAUUUUGGGAAGUUUUCAAACUUUCGAUUUAGUGAAAUUGAGCUCAUUUGAUCAAAUCGGAAUAUUCGAUUGAGCUGCCACCCAUUUGAUCAAAUCGGAGGAUCCGAUUGAGCAAUCGGAGAUAUGUGAGAGAUUAAGCUUCAGGUUUCCAAGUAGGGAUUUGGGUGUAUGUUGUGAAAUUUUAAUUAAAACUCGCAAGCGCACAAAUCGUCAUUAGUAUACUGUGUAAGUACGACGUUGUUCCAACUGAGGAUUGAUAAUCAAUUUAAAUCCUAUCUCAAUUAAUCCAAACACAAAAUCACAGAAACAAUUAAUCAAAAAAAUAUAUGGUUUUUAGAUUUUUGAAUAAACAAAUAAUGUGAAUAUUAAAGAAAGAAACAAACAGCAAAAUUUAUAAAUUGCAAAAGCAAAUUUGAUGGACAUAGGGUAUUAGAAUCAACUACUAACAAUCCUAUUUAUGUUUUGAUGUAAUUAACAAAUUCUUUUAUUUCUUCUUAUGACAAUUCCCGUAUCUAAGUCCAGGUACGACAUUUAGACCAUAGUUUUCCUUAAGUGUAUGAUUCUCUCCAGGUAUGGCAAAAGUCGUAUAUCCUAGCAUGCAGUCUAUCUAGGUACGGCAUAAAUUUAACACACAAGACUCAUUACGUUCUAAAAAACAAGGGAAUCAUGCAAACCAUUACUUCAGGUACGACAAUAAUGUAAUUCACACAAAAAGCUAAUUUGAAUUAUAUUGCAGGUACGCCUCAAAUUCACCUUCUAAUUACUAGAUGCAAAGCCCUAAGGUGAUCAAUCAAAGAACUUAAACAUAAAGCAUCAAUUCAAAUAGUGACUAAGAAUUCAUCAUAAAGAAACUAUAAAUCCAUCAAUAUAACAUCAAGUUACAUAAACAAUCAUGCUAGGGCAUCAUCCUAACUCUAGAAAAAGGUUUAGCAACAUAUAACUAAAUAAAACAUAAGAAAAACAUAAAAAGAAUGAAAAAGAAAAAUAAGGGGAACAUGGAUGAGUCAUCUCUGCUCCUUAAACAUCUUCAAUGUGCUCCCGAAACGUCCUCUCAUGUGAAAUUCGUGCUCCCUUAUAUAGGGAAGAUUCAUACUCAUCUUUGGCUUUAAGUUUCCUUGUAAGACUUGGGUUAUAUUUCUUUCUUCAUUUGGAUUGGGAAAAGCUUGAAAUAUCUCCAGUAAAAGUAGGAAUAAGUUCAUCAUUGAAUCUUCAUCUGAAUUAACUUCCUCAAAACAUUAGGAUUGACGAUCUUGUGCCGCGGAACUUGAGUUCUCCACAAAUGUUUGUAAAAUCCCAAGCAGAUUUUCUGUUUUGACCUAUUUUUACUCAAACAAUCAUAACUUAGUCUAGAAGUAUCAAAAUCAAGACCCGUAAAAUUAUAAAGAAAAUAGACAUCUGUAGUUUUCCAAUGAUAUAAGGAUCAUUGUCUGAUUUAAUGUGGUAAUUUCCCAGUAAUUCGGCGAAAUUGGGUGCUUUGCACAGCCAGAUUCUGAGACUUGGGAUUGCACAAUAUUGCCUUUCAAUCCUCGUUAGCUCAUUUUAGCUUCUUUUCUUCUUUCUAUGGAACAAACCUAUAAAAAUACUUAAAUAACAUAAAUGAAUCAUAAAUAAAGAGAACUAAAUAUAAAUACCAAGAUUAAGAGGCAUAGAAAUAUAGGAAAAUAUGAGCACAUCAGUGUAUGGGAGUAUGGGACUAUAAUGUGCCGAUGCCUGAAAAUUUUGACAUAUGAAUGAUCAAGUGUGCAUAUGACAGAGGAGUAACGUUCUUCGAUACAUCUGAUGUUUAUGGAGCACAUGCUAAUGAAGUUUUGAUUGAAAAGGCCAUUAUUACCCCAUGAGAGUUUAUAUGUUUAAGCAGGACUGAUCAUGUAUUCUAAUAAGGUCAUGGAGCAAGCCACUGAUGUAGAGAAAGCAACGGUUGUGUUUGAGUUUCUUGAUUUCAAGCGCAGGAACAAGAGUUUUACAGCAGCAUGUUGAACAUUCCUAACAUUAUCUAGGCACUCAUUGGUCUUAUAAAUGCUCUAAGGCAGUGGUUUGGAAAGGCAUAUCUAAUAUUGAUACUUGCAAUUGGAAGCAUGUUAUACCACACUAUAUUGCAGCACGUGGCCAUUCAAGCAAUAAAGAGCUUAUUUGAGCAAGUGAGCUGCAACAUGAGAUAAUGGUUUGUGCACAUUUGAACAGUGUUGAAAUGAAGCCAUGAAAAUAUUUUUUUGCUCCUUACAUGGCAAUCCUUUGUAUUGAAAUCACAUCAACUAUUUUUUGAUGUGAUAAUGGUUUGUAUAUAUACUUCAUACAAAAUGCAGCUCCUAGAACUAAGUGGAUACAAUGUAAUCCAACUCCGAAACAAUAUAUUCCACUUGACUUCAUUAUUCUUUCA